rnacentral:lncRNA from 10 species
GUGAUUUUAUGAUGCUUAGCCUGGUGAAUUUAUUUUUCCUUCCCACUUAUUUCUCCUUUUUUUAAUGCCUUAUUUGUUUUCUUUAUGUUCUUCGCAUCUCUGUCUUGCUCUUUGUUUCUUUCUACUCUGAGUGGCCUCACAAAAGGCACCCCACCGUGACUUAACUUAGUUUGUUUUAUGCUAGGCAUGGAUACUGUGGCAGCAGGAGCUGCGCAAAUGAGGGAUGAAGUGGGAUGUAAUGGGAUUGAGAACUACAGCUCAGGAGGGAUAUUUUAUAUAACUGAAGAUAGCAUUCCACUCCAAAAUUAGAUAAGUAAAUAGUCAAAUCCAUCAUUUCUUCCAUUUUUAAUAAUUCAAAAGCAGACUUUCUUCCCCAGCAUGAGGACUAAGAAGAGCAGAAUUAGAGAUGCCCAUUAUUGUCUAUGUGAUAUGUUGGUAUCAAUAGCCUCACUACCUAAAAAUACCAUUGUUAUAUAUUCUGUCAAUUAUUUCAACAUCAACUCCAGACUUCCCACUAUGGUACACUGUUUCCAAUUUUAUAUCUUUAGGAGAAAGGGCUUAAAGAAUAAAAGAAUGUAAUAAGCUUGUAGAGAAGGUAAGUCAGCCUUUAUUAUUAACUUUGUUGGCCUUUGAGCCAAAUCUCAAUUUCUUUGGAUCACUCUGUUGAAGCACUGAGUUCUCCAAUAUGUGAAGCUGUUGAGGAAAGAUAUUGCUUCUACAAUUCUUACUGAAAGGGUUGGUUAUCAUCUGUGAGCCUAAAUCAUUGUUUAAUACUCUGUUGCGAGGUUUGCUAUUAAUUGCUUUUUACCAAUCUAAACCUUCUUAUUGAGGAUAUUCAAAAUGUGGUUUUUUUUUAAAUGUAUGACAGCUAAAAGAAGACCAUUUCCAUAACAUAGCAUUAGGUUUCUGUUGGAUUAACUAUACCCAUAACAAUGCAUUUUUUCAGCUCAGUUCUGUUAUUUUGGAAAAUUCCCUUAAAAUCAGAUUAUAUCCCAUUAAUCUUAAUAAAAUUUUG